rnacentral:rRNA from 1 species
UGGGGAAUCUUGCGCAAUGGGCGAAAGCCUGACGCAGCCAUGCCGCGUGAGUGAUGAAGGCCUUAGGGUCGUAAAACUCUUUCACCGGGGACGAUAAUGACGGUACCCGGAGAAGAAGCCCCGGCUAACUUCGUGCCAGCAGCCGCGGUAAUACGAAGGGGGCUAGCGUUGCUCGGAAUUACUGGGCGUAAAGGGCGCGUAGGCGGAUCAGCAAGUUGGGGGUGAAAGCCCGGGGCUCAACCUCGGAAUUGCCUUCAAAACUGCUGAUCUAGAGUACGGGAGAGGUGUGUGGAACUCCGAGUGUAGAGGUGAAAUUCGUAGAUAUUCGGAAGAACACCAGUGGCGAAGGCGACACACUGGCCCGUUACUGACGCUGAGGCGCGAAAGCGUGGGGAGCAAACAGGAUUAGAUACCCUGGUAGUCCACGCUGUAAACGAUGAUUGCUAGUUGUCGGCAGGCAUGCCUGUCGGUGACNCAGCUAACGCAUUAAGCAAUCCGCCUGGGGAGUACGGUCGCAAGAUU